rnacentral:rRNA from 1 species
CCUACGGGUGGCUGCAGUAGGGAAUAUUGCUCAAUGGGGGAAACCCUGAAGCAGCAACGCCGCGUGGAGGAUGAAGGUUUUCGGAUUGUCAACUCCUUUUGUUAGAGAAGAUAAUGACGGUAUCUAACUGAUAAGCACCGGCUAAUUCCGGUCCAGCAGCCGCGGUAAUACGGAGGGUGCAAGCGUUACUCGGACUCACUGGGCGUAAAGAGCGCGUAGGCGGGAGAGCAAGUAAGAUGUGAAAUCCUUUGGCUUAACCAGAGAACUGCAUUUGAAACUGUUAUUCUAGAGUAUGGGGGAGGUAGGUGGAAUUCUUGGUGUAGGGGUAAAAUCCGUAGAGAUCAAGAGGAAUACUCAUUGCGAAGGCGACCUGCUAGAACGUAACUGACGCUGAUGCGCGAAAGCGUGGGGAGCAAACAGGAUUAGAUACCCCAGUAGUC